AUUGAACGCUGGCGGCAGGCCUAACACAUGCAAGUCGAGCGGAUGAAGGGAGCUUGCUCCUGGAUUCAGCGGCGGACGGGUGAGUAAUGCCUAGGAAUCUGCCUGGUAGUGGGGGAUAACGUCCGGAAACGGGCGCUAAUACCGCAUAAGUCCUGAUGGAGAAAGGGGGGGAUCUUCGGACCUCACGCUAUCAGAUGAGCCUAGGUCGGAUUAGCUAGUUGGUGGGGGAAAGGCCUACCAAGGCGACGAUCCGUAACUGGUCUGAGAGGAUGAUCAGUCACACUGGAACUGAGACACGGUCCAGACUCCUACGGGAGGCAGCAGUGGGGAAUAUUGGACAAUGGGCGAAAGCCUGAUCCAGCCAUGCCGCGUGUGUGAAGAAGGUCUUCGGAUUGUAAAGCACUUUAAGUUGGGAGGAAGGGCAGUAAGUUAAUACCUUGCUGUUUUGACGUUACCAACAGAAUAAGCACCGGCUAACUUCGUG
rnacentral:rRNA from 1 species